rnacentral:rRNA from 1 species
ACUCCUACGGGAGGCAGCAGUGGGGAAUAUUGCACAAUGGGCGCAAGCCUGAUGCAGCCAUGCCGCGUGUAUGAAGAAGGCCUUCGGGUUGUAAAGUACUUUUCAGCAGUGAGGAAGGUGGAUAUGUUAAUAGCAUAUUCAUUUGACGUUAGCUGCAGAAGAAGCACCGGCUAACUCCGUGCCAGCAGCCGCGGUAAUACGGAGGGUGCGAGCGUUAAUCGGAAUUACUGGGCGUAAAGCGCAUGCAGGUGGUUUGUUAAGUCAGAUGUGAAAGCCCGGGGCUCAACCUCGGAAUUGCAUUUGAAACUGGCAAACUAGAGUACUGUAGAGGGGGGGUAGAAUUUCAGGUGUAGCGGUGAAAUGCGUAGAGAUCUGAAGGAAUACCGGUGGCGAAGGCGGCCCCCUGGACAGAUACUGACACUCAGAUGCGAAAGCGUGGGGAGCAAACAGGAUUAGAUACCCUGGUAGGCUC